UAGAUAUGAUCAAACAGAGGAGACAAACAAGAAAGCACUAAAAUGCAAAACACACAAAAACGUAUUUUACCUGCAAUAUGCAAGGCGGACCACACACACGCUUGCUACGUCGGUGUCGAAUGCUCUGGAAUCGAAUGCUUCAGUCGGUGUCGUCUUUUCUUAGAGAUUGGUCUGGAGAAUGGAAUGUACCUGUGAACCCAAAAUUUGAAUAGUAAAGACAUUGAAGGGGAUUUGUUGGAGAAUUUAUGGUUUCAAUGAUGGGAAUUGAUUAAGGCUGAAAUGGUGGUAAACUGAAAUUGUUCUGAAUGAAACGUUCAUUGCUAGUGAUUGAAAACGGUUGGAUACAUAUCUGGAAUAUAGUGGCAACUAAUGUAAAUACAUAGAAUGUUAGGACCUCUUAUAUCUUAGGGGGCAUUUCAGUUUGAAUUUGAGUUUUGAACAUAGUUAUAUAUAUAGAUGGGUUUGUGUCUAGGGAAUAUAAGUUGUAGGGGCCUAUAUUGGACUCUCUCUAAUAUCGCCAAUAUUAUCGUUUUUUCGGGACUAGGAUAUUUUGGGACAUAUCCAUAUACAUAUCGUAUAAUU
rnacentral:lncRNA from 1 species